rnacentral:rRNA from 1 species
UAAAAAUUUUAUUAGAAUAUUAUUUGUUAAACUAAAUUAAUUUUAAAAGUAUUGGCGGUAAUAAGUUAAAUUCUGAGGAACUUGUUUAUUUAAAUUGAUAUUGCACAUUAAAUUUCACUUAUAAUAUUUUUUAUGUAUUGCUGUUUUAUUAAUUAUUUAUUAGAUUAAAUUAAUAAAAUUUAUAAAGAUCUUAUAAAGAAAUUCAAGUCAAAAUGUAGAUUUUUAUAAGGAUAGAUAAGUUACAAUUAUAUUAAGAUAUGAAACUGUAAAGCUUAUUGAAAUUAUUUGUGAAAAAGGUUGGAUUAGGGAGUAAAAAAAAAAUAAUUAAUUUUUUUGAUAUAAUUUACUUUUAUGU